GAUGAAGAACGCAGCGAAAUGCGAUAAGUAAUGUGAAUUGUAGAAUCCAGUGAAUCAUCGAAUCUUUGAACGCACAUUGCGCCCGCCAGCAUUCUGGCGGGCAUGCCUGUUCGAGCGUCAUUUCAACCCUCGACCUCCCCUUGGGGAGGUCGGCGUUGGGGACCGGCAGCACACCGCCGGCCCUGAAAUGGAGUGGCGGCCCGUCUGCGGCGACCUCUGCGUAGUAAUACAGCUCGCACCGGAACCCCGACGCGGCCACGCCGUAAAACACCCAACUUCUGAACGUUGACCUCGAAUCAGGUAGGACUACCCGCUGAACUUAAGCAUAUCAAUAAGCGGAGGA
rnacentral:misc_RNA from 1 species